GUACUUAGAGAAAGAUGAAUCAUUUAGAACCAUUGAUAGCCAAAAAAUAAAAAUAUAGUGCAAGUAUAAAAAUAAAAAAAUUGAAUAUCUCUCAUAUUUUCAUAUCAAAUUUAUAAUAAUCCAAAGAAGGUUAUCCAAAAGACAUAUAUUUUGGGAGAACACGUCAUUUUGGAGGAGAGAUCAAAAGAAAGAAAAUUUUUUAGAGUUUUUGAUUUUAAAGAAUCUGAUAACUAUUCAAAAAAAACUAUCAAAAUUGAAACUCUUAUUUCACCCCUAUGUAAUCCUAUAGGCUACAAACCAGCG
rnacentral:lncRNA from 1 species